AUUGAACGCUGGCGGCAGGCCUAACACAUGCAAGUCGAACGGUAACAGGAAGAAGCUUGCUUCUUUGCUGACGAGUGGCGGACGGGUGAGUAAUGUCUGGGAACCUGCCUGAUGGAGGGGGAUAACUACUGGAAACGGUAGCUAAUACCGCAUAACGUCGCAAGACCAAAGAGGGGGACCUUCGGGCCUCUUGCCAUCGGAUGUGCCCAGAUGGGAUUAGCUAGUAGGUGGGGUAACGGCUCACCUAGGCGACGAUCCCUAGCUGGUCUGAGAGGAUGACCAGCCACACUGGAACUGAGACACGGUCCAGACUCCUACGGGAGGCAGCAGUGGGGAAUAUUGCACAAUGGGCGCAAGCCUGAUGCAGCCAUGCCGCGUGUAUGAAGAAGGCCUUCGGGUUGUAAAGUACUUUCAGCGGGGAGGAAGGGAGUAAAGUUAAUACCUUUGCUCAUUGACGUUACCCGCAGAAGAAGCACCGGCUAACUCCGUG
rnacentral:rRNA from 1 species